ACUAUUUCUACAAAAACCCUAUUUUUAUCCUAAUUACUCUAAAAUAUCUUAAUUCUAGAAAAUUAAAAACUAAACUAUCCUAAAAGAAGAGCAUUAACAUAGAAAAAUGAGGAAAUUUAGAGACUUAACACACCCCCACACUUAAGGAAUUGCCCUCCUGGGCAGGGAAAAUUAAAAAGCAAAAGAAAAACAAAAGACUCAAUCUACAAAAUGAAAACUCAGAAACACUAAAACUCAUUCACAACUCAAUUCAUCCUGCCAAUUCAAUCACUUCCAGCCACUUCUUUCAAUCAGACUGCUGCAGCAGCAACUCUUCUUC
rnacentral:lncRNA from 1 species